AUGAACAUGGAGAAAACCAAAGUGCUCUUCCAACAGGUACCAGCUAAUCCCUCUGCAAUGCCAGGAAUACAGCUUAAUGGUGUAACAUUAGAAAAUGUUGACCAUUUCUGCUACCUUGGCAGCCACCUCUCCACAAAAGACAACAUUGACACUGAAAUACAACACCGCCUGAGCUCUGUGAGCGCAGCAUUUUUCAGAAUGGAGCAGAGAGUGUUUGAUGAUCGGGACAUCCAUAGGGAUACCAAGGUGCUUGUUUAUAAAGCCAUUGUCCUCCCAACCCUGCUCUACGCCUGCGAAACGUGGACUGUCUACAGACAUCACACCAAACUCCUGGAGUGUUUUCAUCAGCGUUGCCUCAGAAAAAUCCUGAAAAUCUCUUGGGAAGACAGGCAGACAAAUGUCAGUGUGCUUGAGAAAGCAAAGACCACCAGCAUUGAAGCGAUGCUCCUACGCCAUCAACUCUGCUGGACUGGCCAUGCUGUCCGAAUGCCCGAUCACCGUCUCCCUAAGCAGUUGCUCUACUCCGAACUCAAGAACGGGAAACGUAAUGUUGGUGGACAGGAAAAGAGACUUAAAGAUGGGCUUAAAGCCAACCUUAAAAACUAUGGCAUAGAUACUGAGAACUGGGAAGCCCUGGCCCUUGAGUGCUCUAAUUGGAGGUCAGCUGUGACCAGCAGUGCUGUGGAGUUCGAAGAGGCAGAAAUGGACAGCUUAAGGGAGAAACGUGCCAAGAGAAAGGAGCAUCAAGCCAAUCCUGACCGUGACUGCCUUCCACCUGGAAACCAAUGUCCUCACUGCAGGAGAACAUGCAGAUCAAGAAUAGGUCUCUUCAGCCAUCUACGGACACACCCCCAGGGUGGAAGACAAUCACCCUCGAACUACGAGGGAUCGCCUAAUGGAAAAAUAGUACUGUACUUGAAUAAGCCAAAGAGAGAGAAAACCCUCAAUGGAUGCCACUCAGUGGCUCAUCCAUUUCUCAAAGCAGAGAAAAGCAAGGACAUUGGCGUCUCAAGUACACUUGGGGGGGGGGGGGGGAGGGAUGAAACACCAACCCAAAACUUGCCUUUUGGGUUCACUCACACUGUGUUCAAUACUGUAAGCCAAGUUUUGUAGUCUUUGUUCAACAAACAUCAAUGGUGCUAUGAUUCCAGGUUCAGCAAUCUAAGACAACACAUAUGUACUGUUGACCCCUAUCAAAACUUGUAGAGUACAACCCGCUUAUCCACGGCUUCAACAUCCAGAUUCACUUACCUAUCCUCCCCCCCAAAAAAAACCUUUCCAGGAAGUGUUUGUGGGCUCCACUAGAUCCUUGAGUGGUAUUCUAUGGCAUGUCUCCAACCCAAGUAAUAUCAGUGGUGGCCCUGCAGCUGUGGAACUCCCUCUCCAGUGACAUCAGAACAGCCCCUUGACUCUUUAAGUUCCAGGAAAAUUUUUAAAACCUGGCUAUUUAAGCAAGCCUUUGGGGAUUAAUACAACCCAUAAGUAUGACGGAAGCUGUAUAAGAAUGGCGAAAGCAAUUGAUCUAAAGCAGUGGUGUUCAACCUGUGGGUCCCCAGAUGUUUUGGCCUUCAACUCCCAGAAAUCCUAACAGCUGGUAAACUAGC
ensembl:lncRNA